rnacentral:misc_RNA from 1 species
AGCAGCCGCGGUAAUUCCAGCUCCAAUAGCGUAUAUUAAAGUUGUUGCAGUUAAAAAGCUCGUAGUUGAAUUUCGGGAUCAAUACGUCGGUCGUGCUUCGGUACGUACUGGCGUAAUUGAUUUCUCCCUUCUGACGAACCAUGAUGUCAUUAACUUGGUGUCAUGGGAAAUCAGGACUGUUACUUUGAAAAAUUAGAGUGUUUAAAGCAGGCUCACGCUUGAAUACAUUAGCAUGGAAUAAUGAAAUAGGACGUUCGAUCCUAUUUUGUUGGUUUUUAGGAUCAACGUAAUGAUUAAUAGGGAUAGUUGGGGGCAUUAGUAUUCAAUUGUCAGAGGUGAAAUUCUUGGAUUUAUUGAAGACUAACUACUGCGAAAGCAUUUGCCAAGGAUGUUUUCAUUAAUCAAGAACGAAAGUUAGGGGAUCGAAGACGAUCAGAUACCGUCGUAGUCUUAACCAUAAACUAUGCCGACUAGGGAU